CUCUAGUAAGUAUAUUGUACGUUUACCUUCCAAGUAAAAAGGCUUCUUAAGGCUAGAGC
rnacentral:tRNA from 1 species